rnacentral:rRNA from 1 species
CUUGGUCAUUUAGAGGAAGUAAAAGUCGUAACAAGGUUUCCGUAGGUGAACCUGCGGAAGGAUCAUUCAUUGAACAUGCAGACCUUGGAUUGAGGCUGCACAUGUUUUUCUUGACCCAAGGCGUUGAUGCCUUCCACGUUAAGUGGUGUAAGAGGGGGGAAAGCUCAUGGUGCCAACUUAUGGGCAUUUUUAUCCUCAGCAGAAGUGUGGUCAUUGAGGAUUGGAUUGUGUCAAAGCAGUCCGUAUGAUAUGAUUGAGGGUUGGCACUCAAUGUAUCUCUAAACCAUUUUUAAAUGGCUUAUCUACAACUUUCAGCAAUGGAUCUCUUGGUUCUCGCAUCGAUGAAGAACGCAGUGAAAUGCGAUAACUGGUGUGAAUUGCAUCCAUGUAACUCUAAUUUACGAAUAACACCAAGUGAAUCAUCGAGUCUUUGAACGCAAUUGCGCCCUCUCGGUCGCUUCCAAUUGGGGGUUGACUCAUAGGGGGUACAUCUGUUUGAGGGUCAUUUGUACCUCUCAAAGGAUUGGCUUUAGAGCUAAUUCUUUGGAUUUGGGUCUUGCUGUGGAGUUCUCUCAGCUUACCUUGAAAGCAUUAGCGAGCUUUUUCUGAGUCUUUUUUUUUUCAGAUUGAGGCGUUCUUAACGCGUUUACGUCUCAAAAGAAAGAAAGAACAGAGUCCUAAAGCCUGCUUCUAAUGGCCUCAUUUUUUUCAAUGACCUCAAAUCAGAUGAGACUACCCGCUGAACUUAAGCAUAUCAAUAAGCGGAGGAAAAGAAACUAACAAGGAUUCCCUCAGUAACGGCGAGUGAAGAGGGAGGAGCUCAGUUUUGAAAUCUGGCAGUCAUUCACCGUCCGAGUUGUAAAUUGAAGAGAGUGUCAUCCACACUGGACCAUGUCUAAAUUGUAAUGAUCCACAGUCCUUUGAUGGAGUAUCAGAGAGGGUAAUAAUCCCGUCUUUAACGUGGACUCCCAGUGUUUAUGUGAUGCAUUCUCUCAGAGUCGAGUAGUUUGGGAAUGCUGCUCUAAUGGGAGGUAAACUCCUUCUAAAGCUAAAUAUUGGCGAGAGACCGAUAGCGAACAAGUACCGUGAGGGAAAGAUGAAAAGAACUCUGAAAAGAGAGUCAAACAGAACGUGAAAUUGCUGAAAGGGAAGCGUUUGGAGUCAGAUGCGUCUUCAUGGAAUAACGACUCAGUUAGCAGAGACUGAGGUCAGUGACUUGAAGAUGGGCCAGCACUCAUGUAGACCAUUGAAAAAGGGGUCAUUGGAAUGUAGCUCAAUUUAUUGAGUGAUUAUAGCCUUGAUUCAUAUACAAUGUGUGUUAUGUGAGAUUGACAGCACGACUUCAGUGCUUGCUUGACUGGCAUAAUGGCUCUAAGCGACCCGUCUUGAAACACGGAC